UGGCGGACGGGUGAGUAACGCGUGGGUAACCUGCCUCAUACAGGGGGAUAACAGUUAGAAAUGACUGCUAAUACCGCAUAAGACUACGGAGCCGCAUGGCUCAGUGGGAAAAACUCCGGUGGUAUGAGAUGGACCCGCGUCUGAUUAGGUAGUUGGUGGGGCAACGGCCUACCAAGCCAACGAUCAGUAGCCGACCUGAGAGGGUGACCGGCCACAUUGGGACUGAGACACGGCCCAA
rnacentral:rRNA from 1 species